CCUGAUUUCUCCUCAUUUGCAGGCAUACUCAGAAACUUGGGCCCACGGGCCUGGCAUAAAGUGAAAGCUUGGCCCUGCCUGCUAAGCUCCACGAUAACACCAGCUGCCACUGAGCACCAUCUUGUUGCCUCAGGAGCGCAUAUUCAGCUCCCCAAAGCAGCUGUUCCCAAGGUGACAAACCAACUGGCUGACUGAAAGUACAAACCCUCAUGCACAUACUUCUAUUUUUUAAAUGGAAUUGCACAAGGCACUAGAAAACCUGAUUGAAGUUAACAAACAAACAACAUCCCAACCCCAAAAUACCAAGCCUUUAAGUCCAAGGUUUCUUUGGUUUCAGUGCCUGGCACAUUCUGGAUGUCAAGAAAUGUUUGCUGCCUGAAUGAAUGAACAGUGCUGUGUAACUACAGAGAAAGGAGAGGAUCCGGUAGGACUUCUGAGAGAAGGUGAGAUUUGAGAGGACUCUUGACAGACAGACAGGAGGAGGAGACAGAUUCCAGAGAACUAACAAGAUGUGAGCUGCGGAUGUUUAGAAUUGCUUCAGAGAUGAAGUGAGACCAAUGAGGCUGGGCUGUAGGGUAUGGAGAGAUGGGGCCUAUGGAAGGCUCUGGGGUAUGUAUUGAGAAAUAAGAGCCAAGGAGUGGCAAGAUCACAUCUGCAUUCUGGAAAGACCAUUCCAGGAGACUGGAAGAGAUCUCAUCAUGUUUGCAGGCCAGAGAAGAGAAUGAAAGAGCAACAGAAAGAAAGGACAAUUGGAAGACUGUAUGUGUGUGUGUCACUAGAAUGUAUGCUCCAUGGGGGCAGGGAGUCUAUUUAAUGCUGAGCUCCCAGCAGCACAUGGAAGAGUGGCUAACAGAUGGGAACCCUCAAUAAGUAUUCACUGAAUGAACAUACUUAAUUCGGAAGAGUUACUACAAACUUAACAUUAAAAAUUUGAAUUUUUUGGGGGGACUUCCCUGGUGGUCCAGUGGUUAAGAGUCCGUCUCCCAAUGCCAGGGACGCGGGUUCGAUCCCUGGUCGGAAAACUAAGAUCCCACAUGCCGCGGAGCAACUAAGCCCACAAGUGCUGCAACUACUGAGCCCGCGCACUCUGGAGCCCAAGCACCACAACUGGAGAAAAGCCCUCCCGCUGCGACGAAAGAUCCUGCAUGCCACAACUGAGACCUGAUGCAGCCAAAAAUAAAAAUAAAUAAAUAAAUAUUUUAAAAAAAAAGAUUUGUAUUUUUUUCACAUCAAUACAAUUUAUUAAUGGUAACAUCAGCUCUUUUAGGCCAUCCCACUGACCUUAAGAGUCUAGAGAUAAGCAAGUUUUCAAAUGUCCACCUCCU